rnacentral:rRNA from 1 species
GACGAACGCUGGCGGCGUGCUUAACACAUGCAAGUCGAACGGUGAAGCGCCUUCCUUUUUGGUGGGUGUGGAUGAGUGGCGAACGGGUGAGUAACACGUGAGUAACCUGCCCCCUUCUUCUGGAUAACCGCAUGAAAGUGUGGCUAAUACGGGAUAUUCUGGGUCUGUCGCAUGAUGGGUCUGGGAAAGAUAUUGUUUCGGUGGGGGAUGGGCUCGCGGCCUAUCAGCUUGUUGGUGGGGUGAUGGCCUACCAAGGCGGUGACGGGUAGCCGGCCUGAGAGGGUAGACGGUCACACUGGGACUGAGACACGGCCCAGACUCCUACGGGAGGCAGCAGUGGGGAAUAUUGCGCAAUGGGCGCAAGCCUGAUGCAGCGACGCCGCGUGAGGGAUGGAGGCCUUCGGGUUGUGAACCUCUUUCGCCAGUGAAGCAGGCCUGCCUCGUUUGUGGGUGGGUUGACGGUAGCUGGAUAAGAAGCGCCGGCUAACUACGUG